AUUGAACGCUGGCGGCAGGCCUAACACAUGCAAGUCGAACGAGUGGCGGACGGGUGAGUAAUGUCUGGGAAACUGCCUGAUGGAGGGGGCUAACUACUGGAAACGGUAGCUACUACCGCAUACCAUCAGAUGUGCGCCGAUGGGCUUAGCUAGUUGGUGGGGUAACGGCUCACCCAGGCGACGAUCCCUCGCUGGUCUGAGAGGAUGACCAGCCACGCUGGAACGGAGACACGGACCAGACUACUACGGGAGGCAGCAGUGGGGAAUAUUGCACAAUGGGCGCAAGCCUGAUGCAGCCGUGCCGGGUGUAUGAAGAAGGCCUUCGGGUUGGAAAGUACUUUCAGCGGGGAGGCGUUACCCGCAGAAGAAGCACCGGCUAACUCCGUGCCAGCAGCCGCGGUAAUUC
rnacentral:rRNA from 1 species